rnacentral:rRNA from 1 species
UUCUGCGUUCACUCCCAACCCCUGUGACAUACCACUUGUUGCCUCGGCGGAUCAGCCCGCUCCCGGUAAAACGGGACGGCCCGCCAGAGGACCCCUAAACUCUGUUUCUAUAUGUAACUUCUGAGUAAAACCAUAAAUAAAUCAAAACUUUCAACAACGGAUCUCUUGGUUCUGGCAUCGAUGAAGAACGCAGCAAAAUGCGAUAAGUAAUGUGAAUUGCAGAAUUCAGUGAAUCAUCGAAUCUUUGAACGCACAUUGCGCCCGCCAGUAUUCUGGCGGGCAUGCCUGUUCGAGCGUCAUUUCAACCCUCAAGCACAGCUUGGUGUUGGGACUCGCGUUAAUUCGCGUUCCCCAAAUUGAUUGGCGGUCACGUCGAGCUUCCAUAGCGUAGUAGUAAAACCCUCGUUACUGGUAAUCGUCGCGGCCACGCCGUUAAACCCCAACUUCUGAAUGUUGACCUCGGAUCAGGUAGGAAUACCCGCUGAACUUAAGCAUAUCAAAAGACGGGGGGAAA